rnacentral:lncRNA from 1 species
AAGUCUAAUUUUAGAGACCUCAACCUACUUAAAAUUUAAUAACCUUCAAUUUAAGUGUUUGAUCAAGUUCAAACUUAUAACAUAAAUUUUUGACAACUAUUCUCAUAAGUUAUCAAAAUUUGAACCAUAGAUCUAUUAACAAACUCAUGAAAUUCUCUAAAACAUAAUAUCCUUUUUAUUUCACAACUUCUAAAAUCAACCAAAAUAACUAUGACUUUGCAAAGCUCUUACAAAAUCAUCACACACUCAAAUCACUCAAAAUCAAUGUUCAAAU